ACUGGAGUUUGGUGGUGUGUUGCUAAGAGUUGAAUGACCAGAGAAGAAGGGAGACUCCUUCCCCAGCAUCAAGGACUGAGGGUAACCCUACCCAAGGGGAAAGAGGGCUGAUAAUUGGCAAUGCUCAAAGUUGCUCAAGCAAUCAAAACACAACAUGGAAAACUCAGCCUUCCAGAUGAAAUUCAACCCAUGCUGAGGUUCCCAGGGUCUCUGGGGGAGCAGGCUCCAAGAAUGGCUAAUCUGAUGGUGGAGCUUUUGGAGGGGCAGGAGACCAAGUGGGGACCAUGGGUCAGAGGAUGGG